CACGUAGGAGGCGAGCGUUGUCCGGAAUCAUUGGGCGUAAAGAGCGCGCAGGCGGCUUGGCAAGUCGGGUGUGAAAUCCCUGGGCUCAACCCAGGAACUGCGUCCGAUACUGGUUGGCUUGAAUCCGGGAGAGGGAUGUGGAAUUCCAGGUGUAGCGGUGAAAUGCGUAGAUAUCUGGAGGAACACCGGUGGCGAAGGCGACAUCCUGGACGGAUACUGACGCUGAGACGCGAAAGCGUGGGGAGCAAACAGG
rnacentral:rRNA from 1 species